AUUGAACGCUGGCGGCAGGCCUAACACAUGCAAGUCGAGCGGAUGAAGGGAGCUUGCUCCUGGAUUCAGCGGCGGACGGGUGAGUAAUGCCUAGGAAUCUGCCUGGUAGUGGGGGAUAACGUCCGGAAACGGGCGCUAAUACCGCAUACGUCCUGAGGGAGAAAGUGGGGGAUCUUCGGACCUCACGCUAUCAGAUGAGCCUAGGUCGGAUUAGCUAGUUGGUGGGGUAAAGGCCUACCAAGGCGACGAUCCGUAACUGGUUUGAGAGGAUGAUCAGUCACACUUGAACCUGAACAACGGCCAGACUCCUUAGGGGAGCAGCCAGUGGGAAUUUUGGACCAAUGGCCAAAGCCUGAUCCAGUCAAGCCCCGUGUGUUAAGGAGGUCUUCGGAUUGUAAAACACUUUUAGGUUGGAGGAAGGGCAGUUAGGUAAUUCCUUGGUUGUUUGACGUUACCCACAAGAUUAGCCCCGGCUAACUUCGUG
rnacentral:rRNA from 1 species